GUCUUGUAAAUUGGAAUGAUGGUGACCUAAACCCUCACCAGAGUAACAAUUGGAGGGCAAGUCUGGUGCCAGCAGCCGCGGUAAUUCCAGCUCCAAUAGCGUAUAUUAAACUUGUUGCAGUUAAAAAGCUCGUAGUUGAAUUUUUGCGUGGUGUUAAUAUUGACUAAUGUCGAGAUUGCACUUCGCUUUUGGGAUUUAUCCCUUUUUACUUUGAGAAAAUUAGAGUGUUUCAAGCAGACUUUUGUCUUGAAUACUUCAGCAUGGAAUAAUAGAGUAGGACUUUGGUUCUAUUUUGUUGGUUUGUGAACCUUAGUAAUGGUUAAUAGGAACGGUUGGGGGCAUUCGUAUUUAACUGUCAGAGGUGAAAUUCUUAGAUUUGUUAAAGACGAACUACUGCGAAAGCAUUUGCCAAGGACGUUUUCAUAAUCAAGAACGAAAGUAGGGGUCAGCU
rnacentral:rRNA from 1 species